rnacentral:rRNA from 1 species
UACAUGUGGGGCAAGCGUUGUUCGGAAUUACUGGGCGUAAAGGGUGCGCAGGCGGCUCCGCAUGUCGGGCGUGAAAGCCCCGGGCUUAACCCGGGAAUGGCGUCCGAAACUAUGGAGCUGGAGUGUGGCAGAGGGAGGUGGAAUUCCACGUGUAGCGGUGAAAUGCGUAGAGAUGAUGGAGGAACACCGAUGGCGAAGGCAGCCUCCUGGGCCAACACUGACGCUCAUGCACGAAAGCGUGGGGAGCAAACAGG